CCACGGGUUCGCGCCCGUGGCUACGAUAGUCCGUCCUUUCAGGACG
rnacentral:sRNA from 1 species